CGGGACCCUCCACCGGCGAGCGGCAGGGGCUGCGGACCUUGCAGAGCAGAAUAAGAUAUGUUCAUCUUCGAGAGGAAGAAACAUGGCCUGGAAAGGGUUAAAUCAUCUGAAGCCUCAGCUGAUGGAGCAGCAGCAGCAGUGGGGAAACUGAGACAGGCCUGUCAUGAGUUCGAGUCCUUCUGUGCAGCUUAUCUAGGAACUUCCUGCCAAUUUAAAAGGCCCCUGGAGACUAGGAACUGUCCUGUCCAUUAUCGGAUCUCUUGUGUCUCGUGUAUAAUCGGACAGAACGAGAGCAGUCCUUGUAUGUUUGCCCAACGUGCGGUAACUUUGUGUCUUGGUGUUCUUCUAUGCAGGGCGCAGUGGCUCAUAGCCAGAGAUGCAUUGAAUGCCGAGAGACAACAGUGUUAAGCUUGUCUCUCGAGUCUCACCCUCGAGCAAGCACAGGGCAGGCCAACAGAGACCUUUUAUGGUCCUCUCUGAAGUCAUGGAAAUGUUUGUUUGUUUGUUUGUUUGUUUAUACAAGUGUUUUGUCUGCAUGUAUGCCUGAACACCAUGAGAGAUCAUUGAUCAUAUGCUCAUAACCUGCCUUGUAGUUGCUGAGAAUUGAACUCAGGACCUCUGGAAGAACAGCUAAGUGCUCUUAACCUCUGAGCCAUCUUUCCAGCCCAGAAGUGUUAUAUUUUAAAAAAAGAAAAAAUAUUUCAGCUAGAAUCUCACAUAUUCCAAGUUGUCCUCAAACUCACAAGGGGAGCCCAAGAUGACCUUGAAGACCUUGCAUUUGUGUGUGUGUGUAUGUGUGUAUUGUGUACGUAUUCCUUUGAGUGUGUGCACAUUCUAUGUGUAUUUGUGGAAGCCAGAAGGUCAAUGUCAGGUGUCUUUGUCAAUCACAUUAUCUGAGACAGGGUCUUAUAUUGGACCUGGAGCAAAUCAGUUUGGCGAGGCUGUCAGCCAUUCGCUCCAGGGAUCGGCCUGUCUCUGCCCCCUUCUCCCUCCAGCAUACCACCUCUUCCAACUUUUCCAUGAACUCUGAGAUGGGAACUCAGAUCCGCACACUUAGCUGCUGGGCCAUCUCCCCAGCCAUGGACGACCCUGAUCCUUUUACUUCCAUCCCCCAAAUUCUAGGAUUCCAGAUGUGGUACCAACACAUCAGGUUUAGGUGGGGUUGGGGAUUAUACAAACCCAAGGCUUUGAACAUGCUAGGGAAAUACUCUACCAACCGGCCACAUCCUAGUUCCCUCUCCGUUGUUAUUUUAUUUAUGUAUUUGUUUGGUUUUUUAAGACAGAGUCUUACUGUUGUAGCCCUGGCUGACCUCAGCCUCACAGGAAUUUGUUGAGAUUUGGUCUGUUGCUGUGUGUUGUAAUUCUGAGGUCUGUAUGAAGGUCUCCAUGCCUACCAGUAAAUUACCAGCUUUUGUUGUGCA